CCGAGUUGAUUUCUUGGGGAACACACUCAGCGCAGGUGUCACAUACACGGACGCACGCGCACACAAACAGUUUGGGUUCCGAGAGAGGAACUGCGGAAGUGUGCAGAAAGAAAUUUUAGGAAAAUCCCAGCCCUGCCCCCCCCAACUGACGCCGCACCUUGACCCGGAAGAUAAUCAUCUAAAGCAGGCUGGACCUUCUCACCUGCGGACUAUAAAGAUUAACUAGGUCGCAAAUGGAGAACCAAGAACCAAGAAAUUCUUCUCAGAAUACCAAACAACAUGUUAUUUCAGAGGAGUUAAUUUCAGAAGGAAACUGGGUCAAGCUUGAAAAAACAACUUACAUGGAUCCUACUGGUAAAACUAGAACUUGGGAAACAGUGAAACGUACAACGAGGAAGGGACAGUCCGCUGAUGGCGUAGCAAUCAUCCCAGUGCUGCAAAGGACUCUUCAUUAUGAGUGCAUCGUUCUGGUGAAACAGUUCCGGCCGCCAGUGGGCAGCUACUGCCUUGAGUUCCCUGCAGGUCUCAUCGAUGACAACGAGAGCCCAGAAGCAGCUGCGCUUCGGGAGCUGGAGGAAGAAACUGGCUAUAAAGGUGACGUUGCCGAAUGUUCCCCAGUUGUAUGUAUGGACCCAGGUUUGUCAAACUGUACCACACACAUCGUGACAGUGACAAUCAAUGGCGAUGAUGCAGAAAAUGUAAGACCUAAGCCAAAGCCAGUCUUCCCAAGUUUGUCGCCCCUUGCUGACCGUGUUCUCCUGCUGUUUGUUUUCAGGGGAUGGAGGUAUGUUAUCAGCUCCCGGUGGCUCCCGUGUGUGUGGCGUAGUGUAGUGGUAAUGGAACAGACCCGGGGGCUGUGUGGCAGGCUCUUGUUCUUCAGCCCUGUUUUCACUUGCACUUUGUUUGUUUAGAAUUUGUGGAAGUAAUUUCUUUACCAAAGAAUGACCUGCUGAAUAGACUUGAUGCUCUGGUAGCCGAAGAACAUCUUACAGUGGAUGCCAGAGUCUACUCCUAUGCCCUGGCACUGAAACAUGCAACCACGAAGCCAUUUGAAGUUCCCUUUCUGAAAUUUUAAGGCCAGAGAGAACGUUGGCCAUGUUUUUGUAAAUGAGACUACCAGGCCUUCAUCAUCUAAAGACUGUAUUCAACUCAAUGUAGAUUUGAAAUUAGCUUUUGAUAAAAUAAAAGCAGCACCGAAUGCA